rnacentral:rRNA from 1 species
CACGUAGGGUGCAAGCGUUGUCCGGAAUUAUUGGGCGUAAAGAGCUCGUAGGCGGUGUGUCGCGUCGGCCGUGAAAACCUGCAGCUUAACUGUGGGCGUGCGGUCGAUACGGGCAUCACUGGAGUUCGGCAGGGGAGACUGGAAUUCCUGGUGUAGCGGUGAAAUGCGCAGAUAUCAGGAGGAACACCGGUGGCGAAGGCGGGUCUCUGGGCCGAUACUGACGCUGAGGAGCGAAAGCGUGGGGAGCGAACAGG